UAAACCAUUGAUAAGUACUCUAGGGUGCUUGAAUCAAGGAUGUUGAUUAAACUAUAUGACUCUGAGGUCCAU
rfam:Callithrix jacchus chromosome 10, whole genome shotgun sequence